rnacentral:rRNA from 1 species
UACGGAGGGUGCGAGCGUUAAUCGGAAUUACUGGGCGUAAAGGGCAUGUAGGCGGUUAAUUAAGUUGGAUGUGAAAUCCCCGAGCUCAACUUGGGAACUGCAUUCAAGACUGGUUAGCUAGAGUAUCGUAGAGGGGGGGUAGAAUUCCAGGUGUAGCGGUGAAAUGCGUAGAGAUCUGGAGGAAUACCGGUGGCGAAGGCGGCCCCCUGGACGAAUACUGACGCUGAGGUGCGAAAGCGUGGGGAUCAAACAGG